rnacentral:rRNA from 1 species
AAANUGACUCUCGACAAUGGAUAUCUUGGCUCUUGCAUCGAUGAAGAGCGCAGCGAAAUGCGAUACGUGGUGUGAAUUGCAGAAUCCCGCGAACCAUCGAGUUUUUGAACGCAAGUUGCGCCCGAGGCCAACCGGCUAAGGGCAUGUCCGCUUGGGCGUCAAGC